rnacentral:rRNA from 1 species
AUUGAACGCUGGCGGCAGGCCUAACACAUGCAAGUCGAACGAGUGGCGGACGGGUGAGUAAUGUCUGGGAAACUGCCUGAUGGAGGGGGGUAACUACUGGAAACGGUAGCUAAUACCGCAUACCAUCGGAUGUGCCCAGAUGGGAUUAGCUGGUAGGUGGGGUAAAGGCUGCCCUAGGCGACGAUCCCUAGCGGGUCUGAGAGGAUGACCGGCCAAACGGGAACUGAGACACGGUCCAGCCUCCUACGGGAGGAAGCAUUGGGGAAUAUUGCACAAUGGGCGAAAGCCUGCUGCGGCCAUGCCGCGUGUAGGAAGAAGGCCUUCGGGUUGUAAAGUACUUUCAGCGGGGAGGCGUUACCCGCAGAAAAAGCACCGGCUAACUCCGUGCCAGCAGCCGCGGUAAUAC